GAACGAACCGCUGGGCGGGCAGGCUUACCACAUGCAAGUCGAACGCCCCGCAAGGGGAGUGGCAGACGGGUGAGUAACGCGUGGGAACAUACCCUUUCCUGCGGAAUAGCUCCGGGAAACUGGAAUUAAUACCGCAUACGCCCUACGGGGGAAAGAUUUAUCGGGGAAGGAUUGGCCCGCGUUGGAUUAGCUAGUUGGUGGGGUAAAGGCCUACCAAGGCGACGAUCCAUAGCUGGUCUGAGAGGAUGAUCAGCCACAUUGGGACUGAGACACGGCCCAAACUCCUACGGGAGGCAGCAGUGGGGAAUAUUGGACAAUGGGCGCAAGCCUGAUCCAGCCAUGCCGCGUGAGUGAUGAAGGCCUUAGGGUUGUAAAGCUCUUUCACCGGAGAAGAUAAUGACGGUAUCCGGAGAAGAAGCCCCGGCUAACUUCGUGCCAGCAGCCGCGGUAAUACGAAGGGGGCUAGCGUUGUUCGGAAUUACUGGGCGUAAAGCGCACGUAGGCGGAUAUUUAAGUCAGGGGUGAAAUCCCAGAGCUCAACUCUGGAACUGCCUUUGAUACUGGGUAUCUUGAGUAUGGAAGAGGUAAGUGGAAUUCCGAGUGUAGAGGUGAAAUUCGUAGAUAUUCGGAGGAACACCAGUGGCGAAGGCGGCUUACUGGUCCAUUACU
rnacentral:rRNA from 1 species